rnacentral:rRNA from 1 species
CUACGGGUGGCUGCAGUGGGGAAUAUUGCACAAUGGGGGAAACCCUGAUGCAGCGACGCCGCGUGAGGGAAGAAGGUUUUCGGAUUGUAAACCUCUGUCCUUGGUGACGAUAAUGACGGUAGCCAAGGAGGAAGCCACGGCUAACUACGUGCCAGCAGCCGCGGUAAUACGUAGGUGGCAAGCGUUGUCCGGAAUUACUGGGUGUAAAGGGAGCGUAGGCGGGAAAGCAAGUUGAAUGUUUAAACUAUCGGCUCAACCGAUAAUCGCGUUCAAAACUGUUUUUCUUGAGUGAAGUAGAGGUAGGCGGAAUUCCUAGUGUAGCGGUGAAAUGCGUAGAUAUUAGGAGGAACACCAGUGGCGAAGGCGGCCUACUGGGCUUUAACUGACGCUGAGGCUCGAAAGCGUGGGUAGCAAACAGGAUUAGAUACCCCUGUAGUC